UACGUAGGGUGCAAGCGUUGUCCGGAAUUAUUGGGCGUAAAGAGCUCGUAGGCGGCCUGUCGCGUCGGCUGUGAAAACCCGGGGCUCAACCCCGGGCCUGCAGUCGAUACGGGCAGGCUAGAGUCCGGCAGGGGAGACUGGAAUUCCUGGUGUAGCGGUGAAAUGCGCAGAUAUCAGGAAGAACACCCGUGGCGAAGGCGGCUCUCUGGGACGGUACUGACGCUGAGACGCGAAAGCGUGGGGAGCGAACAGG
rnacentral:rRNA from 1 species